GUCCCAUCCCCUGCCUCCCUUGUGGAAGUCUGGAUGGCAGACUGAGAGGAGCAUCAGUUGCCAGGAGCAGAACAGAGCUGGCACGGUGCCAAGAGUGACUCCAUGAUGAAGAGGCUACUGCCUCAGGAGAGAGAAUGAGAACCAAGAGUAUGGGGCUGAGAGGAGCUACAGCAUUCAGGAAUUUAAGACAAACAGAUGGAAGAUACCAAGACAAGUACUUUAACAGCUGGGAACUGGAAUACAGGCUGUGUUGUGUCCUGGUUUGACUCCGAGGGAAUUUAGGUUCUCCUGAGACUCAUGUGGAAAUGACUGGAACAUGCAUCUGCUAGGAAAGUUUGUUAUCACAGCAUUGCAAGCUUUCACGGGGAGACUCAGUGCUGUGCAAGCAGGAAGGUGAGUGGGAUAUAGAGGCU